AUAAAGAACAUCAUCAUAAUGACAGCGCCAAAUCCACGGUGGAACUAGCAAUGAACCUAAUUUUAUUAGCUGAUGAUGGAGGAGAUGAUGUCGGUACAGAAACACCAGAAUGAGGCAAUGAAAGUAAACAAUGAACCCGACUGGCUAUUUAUGUAAAGAUCCAUCAAAAUUAGACAGUUUAAACAAGAAUGCCUCUCAACCAUGAUUGAACAAAUCCAAUACAAUAUAGAAUCGAAACAAUAAUUUUU